rnacentral:rRNA from 1 species
UACGAAGGGGGCUAGCGUUGCUCGGAAUCACUGGGCGUAAAGCGCGCGUAGGCGGCUUCUUAAGUCAGGGGUGAAAUCCUGGAGCUCAACUCCAGAAAUGCCUUUGAUACUGAGUAGCUUGAGUCCGGGAGAGGUGAGUGGAACUGCGAGUGUAGAGGUGAAAUUCGUAGAUAUUCGCAAGAACACCAGUGGCGAAGGCGACUACCUGGCCUGUUCUUGACGCUGAGGCGCGAAAGCUAGGGGAGCAAACGGG